rnacentral:rRNA from 1 species
UACGUAGGGUGCAAGCGUUGUCCGGAAUUAUUGGGCGUAAAGAGCUCGUAGGCGGUCUGUCGCGUCGGCUGUGAAAUCCCGAGGCUCAACCUCGGGUCUGCAGUCGAUACGGGCAAACUGGAGUGUUGCAGGGGAGACUGGAAUUCCUGGUGUAGCGGUGAAUGCGCAGAUAUCAGGAGGAACACCGGUGGCGAAGGCGGGGUCUCUGG